rnacentral:rRNA from 1 species
GAGCGAACAGGAUUAGAUACCCUGGUAGUCCAUGCCGUAAACGUUGGGCACUAGGUGUGGGGACCAUUCCACGGUUUCCGCGCCGCAGCUAACGCAUUAAGUGCCCCGCCUGGGGAGUACGGCCGCAAGGCUAAAACUCAAAGGAAUUGACGGGGGCCCGCACAAGCGGCGGAGCAUGCGGAUUAAUUCGAUGCAACGCGAAGAACCUUACCCAAGGCUUGACAUGUUCUCGAUCGCCGUAGAGAUACGGUUUCCCCUUUGGGGCGGGUUCACAGGUGGUGCAUGGUUGUCGUCAGCUCGUGUCGUGAGAUGUUGGGUUAAGUCCCGCAACGAGCGCAACCCUCGUUCCAUGUUGCCAGCACGUAAUGGUGGGGACUCAUGGGAGACUGCCGGGGUCAACUCGGAGGAAGGUGAGGACGACGUCAAAUCAUCAUGCCCCUUAUGUCUUGGGCUUCACGCAUGCUACAAUGGCCGGUACAAUGGGUUGCGAUACUGUGAGGUGGAGCUAAUCCCAAAAAGCCGGUCUCAGUUCGGAUUGGGGUCUGCAACUCGACCCCAUGAAG